rnacentral:rRNA from 1 species
CACAUGCAAGUCGAGCGGAGUGAGGUGCUUGCACCUUAUCUUAGCGGCGGACGGGUGAGUAAUGCUUAGGAAUCUGCCUAUUAGUGGGGGACAACAUUCCGAAAGGAAUGCUAAUACCGCAUACGUCCUACGGGAGAAAGCAGGGGAUCUUCGGACCUUGCGCUAAUAGAUGAGCCUAAGUCGGAUUAGCUAGUUGGUGGGGUAAAGGCCUACCAAGGCGACGAUCUGUAGCGGGUCUGAGAGGAUGAUCCGCCACACUGGGACUGAGACACGGCCCAGACUCCUACGGGAGGCAGCAGUGGGGAAUAUUGGACAAUGGGGGGAACCCUGAUCCAGCCAUGCCGCGUGUGUGAAGAAGGCCUUAUGGUUGUAAAGCACUUUAAGCGAGGAGGAGGCUACUGAGACUAAUACUCUUGGAUAGUGGACGUUACUCGCAGAAUAAGCACCGGCUAACUCUGUGCCAGCAGCCGCGGUAAUACAGAGGGUGCGAGCGUUAAUCGGAUUUACUGGGCGUAAAGCGUGCGUAGGCGGCUUUUUAAGUCGGAUGUGAAAUCCCCCGAGCUUAACUUGGGAAUUGCAUUCGAUACUGGGAAGCUAGAGUAUGGGAGAGGAUGGUAGAAUUCCNGGUGUAGCGGUGAAAUG